rnacentral:rRNA from 1 species
ACGGCUCAGUACACGUGGCCAAGCUACCCUGUGGACGGGAAUACUCUCGGGAAACUGAGCUAAUCCCCGAUAACGCUUUGCUCCUGGAAGGGGCAAAGCCGGAAACGCUCCGGCGCCACAGGAUGCGGGUGCGGUCGAUUAGGUAGACGGGGGGGUAACGGGCCACCGCGCCCAUAAUCGGUACGGGUUGUAAGAGCAAGAGGCCGGAGACGGAAUCUGAGACAAGAUUCCGGGGCUUACGGGGCGCAGCAGGCGCGAAACCUUUACACAGUACGAAAGUGCGAUAAGGGGGCUCCGAGAGGAAGGCAUAGAGCGGUCACUUUGUACACCGUAAAGAGGGCACGAAAAGGACAGCGAUCU